rnacentral:lncRNA from 1 species
UGUAUUACGCAUUACCAGAGGACAGGUAACUUUGACUAUGAAAAAAGAAGAAGCUGCUUCAGAGUUGGACUCAAAGCUCAACCAGGGUGUUGUCCAUUUGGCGACAAAUCCUUUCGUUUUGGCUUUCCGUAGCAAUGAAGAAAUCUCUUCAUUUCUGGAUGAGAGGGAAAAAGAGGAGGAGCUAGCUGAACAACCAAAGGAAGAUGCAGUGUUUUGGCUUUCCGUAGCAAUGAAGAAAUAUCUUCAUUUCUGGAUGAGAGGGAAAAAGAGGAGGAGCUAGCUGAACAACCAAAGGAAGAUGCAGAGGAAGCAGAUGUGGCGGCUGAUAAGACGGAUGUCUUGCCUGAAACUACAGGCAAUGAGGAAGAAUCAGUCAAUGCUGCAAUUGAUGGUUUUCCUGAAACUAUAGAUGACGAGGAUACAAAACAAAACAUUGAUGAAGAAGUGGAGUCAGUUUCUGAAAAUGCUGAGGCGUCACCUGUUGGAGAUGCUGUGGAACCUGAAGCUGAAACUGGCUCAUCUGAGCAAAUGGCUGAUCAGAUUUCAGCAUCUGAAACUGUGGCUGGCGAGGAGGUUGUGGAGAAACUAACUGAUGAUGCAGUAGCGAAAAAUGAGGUUGAAACUCAAAUAGCAAGUGUCACAGAAGCUGCCAAAGAAACAGAGGAAACUAGUGGCAUUGAGAAUGGAAGUAUACCAAGCCCAGCUGGACAAUCUGAAGCUCCUUUGGAGAAUAGCAAGGAUGAAGGUUUCUACUAUGAAACUUUCCUAGUUCCCCUCUGAUUUAUUACUCAUUUCACAUCCUUGCUUCUUGCAUGCAUGUUCAUGACAAACAACCAGAUACAAGUAUUACAUUGUGAGCCACCAAAUGUGUGAUUCCAAAAUAAGGUGUUGAUGCAUGAUAUACGUACACUUUACAAUUUAUGACAAAAACCAGAUACAAGUAUUACAUUGCUGAGCCGCCAAAUGUGUUAUUCCAAAAUAAGGUGUUGAUGCAUGAUAUACGUGCACUUUACAUGUUAUCUGUGGAAAAGAUGGAUGGUAAGAAAAGGAACUUCUAGUAUAGUUCAUGUUAAAAGUUUGGUAUAUUAUUCUUCUGUUGCUUCAUCCUAUUGCAUCUUUGUCAGUCCUUACACAGCUCCAGUUUUACGUAUAGAGUGCUUUCUUUUGACCAACACAUGUGCUUUUAGGUUUGACUGACAUAUUGAGAGAGAAUCAUCUUCUUGCUUUGGGCAAAUCUUGAAAUUUACUUAAGGACAUAAUGUCGUGUUAUGUGAGAAAGACAAAUUAAUGACGUGUCACCAAUAAACUAGCUGAGAAUCCAAUUUUUGCAUACAGUAAGUCAGGAAGGUGCUGAAGUAGUGGAGAGUAAAGUUGAAAAUACUCCUUCCAUAGAGGACCAAUCAUCUGAUACAGCUGCUCAGCAGGAAGAGGUGGCUACCGCUGCUGAGCAAGAUAGAAAUGUUGCGAACUCAAGUGAGCAAAAUGGGACUGCUUCAUCAAAUGAAGCCGCAGCAAAAGGUUUUGCCUUAAAUUUCCCUUUCUUUUCUGGAAUAUAGCUUCCAUUAACAUGUUAAAGCGGAAGUAAGAAUCUCUAGAGUAAAUUUUGUGGAUCUAGUUGCCAAACAUUUGUUUAGUGAGUAUGAUAUGAAAAUUUCAGCACCGAGCGCUGUAAUAAUUGUGCGACAAAUAUUUAGAAGCUUGUUGCAUCCAGAACGGGUGGAUGUCUGCCUACUACUUGGAGAAAGACGUCGAAUUAGAGGAUAGUCAUUUUUUACACAUGUACACCGGACUGCAUGCUAAAUGUGUGUCUUAAAAUGUGAGCCGGAAAAACUCGCGUUCUGGUUAUAAAGUGCAGCUACAUUUAGUUGUUUCAUUGUUCGUUAAUUGAAGUGGUAAACAUCUUUUUUUUUGUGAGCAAGAUAGAAAUGUUGCAAAGUCAAGUGAGCGAAAUGGGACUGCUUUAUCAAAUGAAGCCGCAGCAAAAGGUUUUCCCUUUCUUUUCUGGAAUAUAGCUGUCAUUAACAUGUUAAAGUGGAAAUAAGAAUCUCUAGAGUAAAAUUUGUUGAUCUAGUUGCCAAACAUUUCUAUUAGUAGGUAUGAUAUGAAAAUUUCAACACUGAGUGCUGUAAUAAUUGUGCGACAAAGAUUUAGAAGCUUGUCACAUCUGCAAAGGGUAGCCAUUUACCUACUACUUGAAGAAAGACGUUGCAUUAGAGGAUAGAUUUUUUACACAUGUACACCUACUGUAUGCUCCAGCUACGUUUAGUUGUUUCUUUGAUCAUUAAUUGAAGUGGUAAACAUCAUUUUUUUCCAUGGCAUUCAGAGUUUUUGAUGAAGGAGACUCCAAAUUGAAGAGAACUUCUUCUCUCUACCUGCGUUGUACUUAUAAAUCUCAAAUCUAUCUUUAUUUGAUCCCAAAUAAUUCGUCCCCAGGAAUGGUAAAAUUUGCUCGUUCUACUGCCUUCAUCAUUCGAUUUGGGAGUAUGAAAACACUAACGAUGAGAUUUGUGCUACAAUCCCUGCUCAUUGAAUCUUUAGUCAGAGUAGAUUCUUUCUUCUUUAUCUUUUUUCCUUAUGGAAUAAAAAAAGAAUCUAGUGUCACUAAAGAUAACAGAUUGCAGGCUUCACCCUUACAAGAAAUCUAAACCAUUAUAUAGCUUAUCCAAACAACUACUACUUCCACUACUUCUACGCACAAUCCCAAGCUAGUGGGGUCAGAGGGAGAAGAGAGAGAGAGGGAGAGGGAGAGGGAGAGAGAGAGAAAGAGAGAGAGAGAGAUAAAUUUCCUUAUUGUGUCACAAAAGGUCAAACUUGUGGAAAGUCUUGACUUAUGAAUAUAAAUUUUGACAGUGAGGAUGGGUGAUGUCUAUAUUUAACGUUACAGGUUGUUGAAAUGUGAGUGGAUCACUAGUUUGCCUUUGUAGGUGAAAUCUGUGGUUUUCUAAAAUUUAACCUAUUCAUUUCUUCCUGAUCCUACCCUUUUCAGUCCAUUUAAAAUCUGUUAAUGGGAUUAGUUAUGUUCAGAUACUUUAUUACCGUUGUAUGGCCAUCCAACAUCCUCUGAUUUCUUUAUCUCUUGACCUCUUUUUUGUUGCCUCUCUGCCCUUUCGGGUAGGGGUAAGGCUCGUCUACAUAUUACCCUCCCCGGACCCCACCNNNNNNNNNNNNNNNNNNNNNNNNNNNNNNNNNNNNNNNNNNNNNNNNNNNNNNNNNNNNNNNNNNNNNUGUUACCCUCCCCGGACCCCACCUGGUGGGAGUAUACUGGGUAGUUGUUGUUGUUGUUGUUGUUGUUGUUGACCUUCUUUUUGUUGGUCUAAUUGACUUAUUCUGCCAAGCUAUCUCUUUGUAAUGCGAGUUUGGAUAAACUGAAGUAAAGUAAAACUGUCAUCCAUCAUAAUUAUUAGAUGGUACUGUUAUAGAGAAAUACUACUUCCAAAUGCACGCCUGCUCCACUAAAUCCUGCCCCUCCGUGGUAUUGUGGCAGCUAUUUCACCUGCUCUUGUGAAACAAUUGCGUGAAGAGACAGGGGCUGGAAUGAUGGACUGCAAGAAUGCUCUUUCAGAAACUGGAGGUGACAUUAUUAAAGCGCAGGAGUAUCUCAGGAAAAAGGGGUUGGCAAGCGCUGAUAAGAAAUCAAGUAGAGCUACAGCUGAAGGUAGAAUUGGCUCAUACAUCCAUGACAGCAGAAUCGGUGUCCUGAUAGAGGUUAACUGCGAGACAGAUUUUGUAUCGCGUGGUGACAUUUUCAAGGAAUUAGUUGAUGACUUAGCCAUGCAAGUCGCUGCAUACCCCCAGGUGCAGUAUCUUGUUCCAGAAGAUGUUCCAGAGGAGAUCAUCAACAAGGAAAGAGAAAUCGAGAUGCAGAAGGAAGACCUAUUGUCAAAACCUGAGCAGAUCAGAUCCAAGAUUGUUGAUGGGCGGAUAAAUAAGAGGCUUGAAGAACUGGCCUUACUGGAGCAACCUUACAUCAAGAAUGAUAAAUUGGUUGUAAAGGACUGGGUCAAGCAGACAAUCGUUGAUGGCCGGAUAAAUAAGAGGCUUGAAGAACUGGCCUUACUGGAGCAACCUUACAUCAAGAAUGAUAAGUUGGUGGUAAAGGAUUGGGUCAAGCAGACGAUUGCAACGAUUGGUGAAAACAUCAAAGUGAAGAGAUUUGUGAGAUACAACCUGGGAGAGGGUCUUGAAAAGAAGAGCCAAGACUUCGCAGCAGAGGUGGCUGCUCAAACAGCAGCUAAACCUGUCGCCUCACCCGGAAAAGAGCAAUCUGCUGUUGAAGCCAAGGAGACGACUGUUGAGUAAGUUUCUAAUUUCUUGAGAAUCACUUCUUACCAAUUUAUUACGUUUCUUCAUUCUCUGAGCAACCAGAAAUGUGUAUAACUUCUUGACGACUCAGAUUAUAAUUUCCCUUUUUCAGUUGUUACUCAACUUUUCAUUAUUAUAUGGAAGUUUCAGUUUUCUGCAAUGUUUUUAGAUUCAAAAAGUGCUUAUGCUCUGUUUUAGACUCAAAAAGUGCUUAUGCAGUCUUCUAAACCUAAGCACACAUUUUACUUAAUCUAUUUCACAUAAAAUAUGGUUCCAGCAGCAUUAUGGGAGAGGUAAUCUGAAAUAUGUAUCAGAGUUUGUUUUUCUCAUCUUAUUCUAUGCUGAUAUUUUAUCCUCAACUGUUUUGAACCCCCAAAAACCGUAUAUUUUUUAUCUCUCAUGAUUAGUUUCUGUUUAAUGGAUGUUAAUGCAGGCCUCCAAAAGCAGCAGUUUCAGCCGCUUUGGUUAAACAGCUGCGAGAAGAAACUGGUGCUGGGAUGAUGGAUUGCAAGAAAGCUCUCUCCGAAACUGGAGGGGAUCUUGAAAAGGCACAAGAAUACCUCCGAAAAAAGGGUCUUUCGACUGCCGAUAAGAAGUCCAGCCGACUUGCUGCUGAGGGGAGGAUUGGUUCCUACAUUCAUGACUCCCGAAUUGGUGUGCUAAUUGAAGUUAAUUGUGAAACCGACUUUGUGGGGAGAAGUGAAACCUUUAAGGAAUUGGUCGAUGAUUUGGCAAUGCAAGUUGCAGCCUGCCCACAGGUGCAGUUUGUAUCAAUUGAUGAGAUUCCAGGAAGCAUUGUCAACAAGGAAAAGGAGUUGGAAAUGCAGAGAGAAGAUCUUAAGAACAAACCUGAAAAUAUAAGGGAGAAGAUUGUUGAGGGCAGGGUCUCGAAGAGGCUUGGAGAGCUUGUUCUUUUGGAGCAGCCUUUCAUAAAAGAUGACAGUGUUUUGGUGAAGGAUUUGGUAAAGCAAACUGUUGCCGCCCUUGGAGAGAACAUAAAAGUUAGGAGGUUUAUCCGAUUUACUUUAGGCGAGGAAGCCAAAGAAGCCAAGGAAGAAGGAAUAAUUGAAGAGACAGCUGCUGUAUGAAGUUAACUCUAACUUGGGAUGCUGGAUAUAAGCAAGCAGACGUCCGAUUUACUCUAGGCAAGGAAGCCAAGGAAGAAGGAAUAAUUGAAGAGAUAGCUGCUGUAUGAAGUUAACUCUAACUUGGGAUGCUGGAUAUAAGCAAGCAGAAGAUGCAUAGGAAGACUUUCCACUUCUGGAGAUAGAGCAAGUUUACAUCAAAUUGAGCUAUUUUUGUAUCCGAGUAUAAUGUUGUCAUACUUGAUGUGCUGUGAGGCGAUUAGUUUUCAUUUUUUUCUCCUUUUUCCUUUUCUCUUAUAUUUACUGGUUAUGUAACUGUUAUAUUAUCAUCAGAAACUAGGAUUUCGGACGCCAUUUUGAAGCAAGAUGUCAAAGGAGAACCAUCAGAGGCAAUUUUAGUGAGUUAAUUUUUUCAGCAUUGGAGUUACUAAUGCUCCUUUGUUUUUUGUAUUUAUUUUUGUUUUUCCUUUCCUUUACUGAGCCGAGGGUCGAUUGGAAACAACCUCUCUGCCGUUUCGGGUAGGGGUAAGGCUCGUCUACAUAUUACCCUCCACAGACCCCACUUUGUGGGACUAUACUGGGUAGUUGUUGUUGUUGUUGUUUUGUUAUUCCACUCUAAUAUAUAUCAAAUAGUAUACUUCUGUGCUUUAGACAAGAGGGGUUGCUCUGAUGGUAAGCAACCCCCAUUUCCAACCGAGAGGUUGUGAGUNNNNNNNNNNNNNNNNNNNNNNNNNNNNNNNNNNNNNNNNNNNNNNNNNNNNNNNNNNNNNNNNNNNNNNNNNNNNNNNNNNNNNNNNNNNNNNNNNNNNNNNNNNNNNNNNNNNNNNNNNNNNNNNNNNNNNNNNNNNNNNNNNNNNNNNNGAGCAAUAUGGGAAGUUCUUGGAGGGAAGGAUGCCGGGGGUUUAUUUGGAAACAGCCUUUCUACCACAGGGUAGGGGUAAGAUCUGCGUACAUACUACCCUCCCCAGACUCCACUAAGUGGAAUUAUACUGGGUUGUUGUUGUUAUUGUUGUAUACUUCUGUGCUGAUAUUUGGAUUUUGUGCCUGCUUUUGACAUUUGUGCAAAUAUGGUCCAAGUUUAUCGAAAAUAUUAGGACUAAUAUACUCUCAAGUUACACUAACUGCAUGAACAAGAACUUUUGCAAGCCGCCGCUCGGCCACUUCAACAUAACGAUGAUGAAGCCUUUGAAUAGAACCUGCAGGCAUGAAAUGCAGUGCUCCCGGCAAAAGGAACAUCAAUACAAAACGAAAGCUGAAACUGAUAAUAUAAUAAUUAAAAGUAACUAGAAAGUCAAAGAUGAUAUUAAGAUAUGCUUACCUAAUGAUACAUACUCAACUCUCUCAAUAUAGUAAGUAAAAUAGUAGCCCGACCCUAUAAAGCUCGGUACUAGGCUGUAGUAAGCUCUUGCGUCGGCGCUUGGUCAUACUAGGCUCAGUAUUGCAGUCAUUCUGGACUCUCUCAUGAGCGCUCGACCACAAUAGGCUCGGUAUAUAACUUAUCAUCUGAUCAAUAGUUGCCCCAUAGGGGCGAACUGCCACGACAAAAAAUCCGGCUAGGCUGAUGGAACCUAACCCAACCCGCUAGGUAAGCCAAAUAAUAGACAACACAACUCCAAUAGGAUAACAAGAAUCAAUAAAUAAAAUAAUAAAGCUUUCUAUACAAAAUUCCAAGGAUAGGUGGUACAAGUCGUGAGCUUCUAGGACUUAGAAUUUACAAAGCUGGUAAGAAAUAAAUACAUCAUCUAUUCGAAAUAUACAUAAACAGAUUUAUUAAAUUAACGAUACCAAGAGCAAGAGAUAGCUAUAAUAAGGACGCAGGUACAUCUUCAAUAUAGUUCCCACCAUAUGUAAAUACACGGCCGGUCGUUUUGAGAGUAAUAGAUUCUGUCCUUAUUUACUACUUUUCCCGCAUCUUUUUAAGCUUAGGUGACUUGCUGGGAAGUUUUGUUUGUGUUUUUGGAGUUAUUUGGGACAUUUAGUCCCUAAAACGAAAGCUUAAGUUCUAGCCUUUUGACUGUAGUUGGAGCUGUGUGAAGAUGACUUUGGAAUAGAGUUCCUCGGUUCUGUUAGCUCCGUUAGAUUAUUUUGGGCUUAGGAGCAUGUCCAGAUUGCGAAUUGGAGGUCUGUAGUUGAAUAACGCUUGAAAUGGCGAAAGUUAAAUUUUUGGGAAAUUUGAUCGGAAGUGUACUUUUCGAUAUCGGGGUCGGAUUCCGAUUAAGAAAGUUAGAAUAGGUCUAUAAUGUCAAAUAUGACUUCUGUGCAAAAUUUGGGGUCAAUCGAUAGGUUCGGCAUCGGUUGUAGAAGUUUUAAUUUUCAAUCAUUAAAUAUGGAUUAACGUGAUUCUAUUUUUGUUGUUGUUUGAUGUGAUUUUAGGGCAUGACCAAGUUCGAGUCGUAUGGUAUUUUGGCACUUGUUGGUAUGUUUAGUUAAGGUCCCGGGGGUCUUCGGUGGAUUCGAGGCUGUUAACGGACUAGUUUUGGACUUGAUGAAAUUGCAGAAAAAUCUGGUGUCCAGUUGCUGGUUUCCUUCUUCGCGUUAGCGAGCUGGUGGCGAGGAGAGAUAUUGUGCUUUGCGUUAUCAAAUUCGGAGUCGUGUUCAUGAAGAUAUGUUCAGUGGUGCAUCGUGAACGCGUGAAGAGUUUCGUGUUCGCAUAGAGGAAGUAGAGCAGCUGGGAACUCAAGGCAUUUGUUCAACAUGUUCGUGUAAUAGGUGUUGCAUUCGCGAAAAGGUGGGUCAAUCAUGCAUCACAUUCGCUUGAUGGUCCUCGUGUUUGUGUAGAAGGACUUUUGCUUAGUAGCUAUUUGUGUUAAGCGAACACGAGAGUGGGGCCGCGUUAGCAAAGAAGGAAUUAGCUGCGCAACAGUAUAUAUUUCAAAAACAAGGGUUUUGCCAUUUUUAUUAAAACUUGAGAUAGAGAGCUCAGAUUUGGAUGAAAUUGUGGGGAAUUUUCAAGGGAAUCGAUUAGGUAAUGAUUAUUCUCUUGUUUUUGGUUAUAUCCUAUUAAUCUAUCAUUAGUUUCAUCUUUUAACUUAAAAUUUGGGUUCCGAAAUUUGGUAAAAAGUGGAAGAAGUUCUUGAAGAAACCUUUUGGGUUUUGAUUGAUAUUUUUGUAUCGGUUUUGUGUGAUUUUGGUUCGAGUAAACUCGUGAUUGAAUGUGUGUUCGUAUUUUGUGAUUUUUACUCGAUUCUGAGAUAUGGGCCCGGCUUGACUUUUUUCGGCGAUUUUCAAAAUUUUUGUUAAAGUCUUGAUUUCAUUAAUUAAAUUAGUUUAUUAUAGUUGUAUUUAUAGUAUGUAAUUGUUUUUGGCUAGAUUUGAGUCACUCAGUGUUGGAAAAUCGAGGAAAACGCGUUCUUGUUGAUUAAUUGAGCUUGGCUCGAGGUAAGCGUCUUGCCUAACCUUGUGUGGGGGAAAUCCCGUUAUGAAUUCGUUCUGUAGUCAUACUUCUAUGAUAUGUGAGUGCCAUGUACGCGGGGUAACGAGUGCGUACACGGGCUAAUUAUUGUGAAACCCGAUUUUACAUUGAGCAGUAACAUGUUAUGUCUUUAUUGAGCUAUCCCCGCAUGGGUGGUUAUCCUAUUAGCUUAAUAUCACACGUCUAUGUGCUUUAAAUGCCUAUUUGUAAUUUGUGCAGCAUGCUUAGUUGAUUUUACUAUUUUUCCUUGACUCGUAUUUAGUCUUAAAAUAUAGGAUUUCUUGCUGUUAAUUGUUGUUGCUAUUGAUUUCAAGUUUUGUGUUUACUUUUACGACUACAAGGUGACACCUCGGGAGAUCCCCUUGUAUAUUUACUUUUGUGUCUACGAGACAGCAUAUCGGGAGUGCCCCCGUUGUUUACCUCUAUGUGUUGUGUUGUUAAUUAUAUGUGAAUUCUCUUUUUUUUCGUUAAAUUCUCAGUCUUUCAUCAUGUUGUUAUAUCUUCUCUCUUAUUUUUAUAUCCUAGUAGGGACCGGACCGAACCUCAUCACUACUCUACCGAGGUUAGGCUUGAUACUUACUGGGUACCAUUAUCGUGUACUCAUGCUACUCUUUUGCACAUGUUUUGUGUGCAGAUCAAGGUACAUCCUACCGGGCCCACUAUUAGUUGCGCACUUGCUGCUGCUCUAGAGACUUCAAAGUAUAUCUGUCAACGUCCGCAGACCUCGGAUGCUACUCUUUUGCACAUGUUUUGUGUGUAGAUCAAGGUACAUCCUACCGGCCCCACUAUUAGUUGCGCACUUGCUGCUGCUCUAGAGACUUCAAAGUAUAUCUGUCAACGUCCGCAGACCUCGUAGUCCCUUUAUCCCCUCUAUGUUGUCCCUCCUUUAUUUCUUCUUGUUACAAAUGUAUAGAAAAAGUUAGACAAAUUCUUAGAGCUUGUGGCAUGAUUAUCGGCUCUUGGGAAUAUUGUUAAUACUCGAGUGGUGGUUUACUUGUACAGUACGAGUAGCAUUUUAUCGGGAGAUCCCCUUGUAUAUUUACUUUUGUGUCUACGAGACAGCAUCUCGGGAGUGCCCCUGUUGUUUACCUCUAUGUGUUGUGUUGUUAAUUAUAUGUGAAUUCUCUUUUUUUCGUUAAAUUCUCAGUCUUUCAUCAUGUUGUUAUAUCUUCUCUCUUAUUUUUAUAUCCUAGUAGGGACCGGACCGAACCUCAUCACUACUCUACCGAGGUUAGGCUUGAUACUUACUGGGUACCAUUAUCGUGUACUCAUGCUACUCUUUUGCACAUGUUUUGUGUGCAGAUCAAGGUACAUCCUACCGGGCCCACUAUUAGUUGCGCACUUGCUGCUGCUCUAGAGACUUCAAAGUAUAUCUGUCAACGUCCGCAGACCUCGGAGUCCCUUUAUCCCCUCUAUGUUGUACCUCCUUUAUUUCUUCUUGUUACAAAUGUAUAGAAAAAGUUAGACAAAUUCUUAGAGCUUGUGACAUGAUUAUCGGCUCUUGGGAAUAUUGUUAAUACUCAAGUGGUGGUUUACUUGUACAGUACGAGUAGCAUUUUAUCGGUUUUAUUGCUAUGAAUUGAAGUUAGUUGUUAAAUUCUGCUUUUAUUUCUGUUAUUCUGCAAAUUGUUAGGCUUACCUGUUGUAGAUACUAGAUGCCAUCAUGACAUCUUACGGAGGGAAUUUUGGGUCGUGACACAUACUCAUCAACAUCAGCUCCAAAAUCUGUUCACAAGGUGUAGAAGUGCAGCAUGAGUACAACCGGCCCCAUGUACUCAAUAAGUAACAAAUCUAACCUUAGAUUAAAAGCAGGGAUGAGCUCGAGAAAAGGUCAAUGUCCAACACCAAUAGCUAAUAUCAACUCAUAAUAUUACAAUGGAGGAAGUAAAAGUAAUUUCUCAAAAGAUAGUAUUCUCAACUUGUUCACAAUUAUGAAAAGGUAGAGACGUUUUCCAGGUAUAACUGUCAAGUCUAGAUAUUACAACUAAAAUUCAUCUAAACUUGAGUUUAUCAAUAGAACUGUAUUUCCAAUUCACAACACCAGAUAAGAAUUUCUGUAUACCAAUUAGCACGAGGAAAGUAUGUCUAUAUACCUAUAUAUCAAUAUACAUGUCAAGUCAUCAAUUAUUAUAUACCGUCUAGCAUGAGAAAUAUACAUCUCUAUGGCUACAUGUCAAAUCAUGAAUGUCACAGUACUGUCUAGCAUGAGGAAGAUGCAUCUCUAUGCUUUAGCAUCAAAUGAACGAUUUCAAUAUGAUAUUCCCACGUACUAUUACCCUUAACAUACUCAAGGUGUCUAUCUCAAUUUCCCACUUCAUCAUACACACAAACAAUCACUCAACAUUGUAUGGGUGCCUGGCUAAUAAGCCCCUCACCGAAGCACGUGUACACCUAUCAUUGUGUCUACGCUAAUUGCUGGUAUGUCAGACUCCGAAAAGGCGUAUCCUACCAAAGUGCUUAUAUAAAUCCAAUAAGGCCUACUAUGGCAUGCAGCCCGAUCAACAAUAAUAAAUAAUAGUAAAGCUAAUAUGGCUUAUUGCGACAUAGCCCAAUACACAAUAAUCACUCAUAACACGGUUCUCAAGCCCGCUUCAGUCAUCAAUCUCUCAAGUCUCAAGGGCUCACAAAUCUCAUAUAACUCAACCUAAAAAAUGAUAAUAUGUUAUGUAACAAUGAAGGAUGAACAAAGAUUGAGAUGUGAUAUGCAAAUGAUGAACCAUGACUGAGUAUAUGUAAUUGCAGUUAAUGAAAAUAACUCAAAACAAUAGAAAUAACCUCACUACGUCUCAAGUUAAUAAGCACAUAGCCUAAAUAUGACUUUUAACAUGAAUCACAUCUCAAUUACUCUAGCAAGUAAGGAUUUUAUGGAUAAAACAAGAUAAGAGGAACACAAGUACGGUCAUAGUCUAAUAGUUAACUUGAAUCAUGUUUACCCGGUUCACGCCCAUAGGCUCGUCAUCUAACAUGUGUGUCACCUCCAUACAUCUCUUAUAACAUAGUUCCUUGGGUUAAAUAUCCUAAAAUCCAAGUUUAGAUACGUUACUUACCUCGAUCAAGCCAAAUCCAAUACCAAGCAAGCCAAACAACACUCUAGAAACGCAAUCAAAUGCAAAUCAACCUUAUGUGACUCGAAACUAGACAAAGGCAACCCAAAAAUAGCAAAUAAUACCUAAAGAAACAAUACCAAAUGAUAAACAUCAAAUCUUAACUCAUUUUUUCAAAUUCAACAAAAAAGUCAAACCCAUGCUCAAACCUCGGAACCCGACAAAAUUCACAAAAUAUGACAACCCAUUCCAUUACAAAUCCAUCCGUACAAAUUUCACUCGAAUCCGACUCCUAAUCGAUGUUCAAAACUCAAAAUUUUACUUUAGGACAGAUUAGACAAAACCCCCAAAUUUCUCUUUUGGAUUUUUCAAUCAAAUGCCAAUCGGAUAUAGAAUCAUGGAAUAUAAUAAAAACCGAUUAGAAAAUACUUAACUUCAAUCCAUAUGGUGUAAAUUGCCUCCAAAAUUUCCCAAAUUCGAGCUCCAUAGCUCAAAAUAUGAUAAAAUGUGCGAAACCUUUGAAAUAGAGUACUUAUAAUCACUAAACAACAAUACCCAUCGCAAUCGCAGGAUUUCAUUUGCGAUCGUGAAUAACAAAUGCUACUGCCACCAAAACGCUUUUUGUGUUCAUGAUACUGGUCAUGCAAACUUGAUGACCACUGACACCAAGGCUUCACGAAUGCGAUAAGACUUAAGCGAACGACAUUAAAAGUACACCAGCCCCUAACUCUCCUUCGUGACUCUACGUGAACGCGGUAUUACUAUGCAACCACGAUGAUCAAUCAUCACAAAGCUUUGCGAAUGUGACCACAAGUCCGCAAACAUGAUAAAGAAAUUACCCAGCCCCACAUUUUCGAUCGCGGUGCUUUGUAGAUACAGAAGAAAUCAGCAAUACAAAAACCAUCUAAAACAAUCCGAACCACGUCCGAAACUAACCCGAGCACCUUGGGACACCGUACGAAUAUACCAACAAGUUCCGAAACAUAACACAUACCUACUUAAGUCCUCAAAUCAUACAAACAGCACCAAAAUUAUGAAUUGCACCUCAAAUCAAACUUUAUGAACUUCUGAAGUUUCAACUUCCAAAACUCAUAUCGAACCAUAUCAAAUCAACCCAGAAUGACCUCAAAUGUUGCAUACGAGUUCCAAAUGAUAUACCGAAGCUAUUCCAAUUCCCAAAACCACAAUGUGAACCCGAUAACAUCAACUUCAACUCCCGGCCAAACUUAUGAACAUUCCAAACCUUGAAAUUUCCAACUUUCUCCAAAUAGUACAGAAACCUUCUAGAAAAAUCAAAAUGCAAAUCCGAGCAUAUGCUUAAGUCCAAAGUCACCAUCCCAACCUAACAUAACCAUAAUCCGAUCCAAAGUCAAAUACACAAAAGUCAAACUUGGUUAACUCUUCCUAGUUGAGAAUUAUUCUUCUAAAUCAAUCUCGAAUCAAUUGAAAAUAAAACCCGAUGCACAUAAGUCAUAAUACAUCAUCUGAAGGUACUCAAGACUUGAAAUAACUUAAUGGAAAAGUAAAUUCCCAAAAACUACCGGUUGGGUUGUUACAUUUGUAAAGACCCGUAAAAAUUUCUUGCUUAAAAUAAUGUCGGGUUGGCCCCUGUGUUGUUAUAACUGUAGAAACGUACCCCGAAAGUUGAAAGGUAAAAUUUUCCAAAAAAAUGGACGUUAUACGACGCACUAUUCGAUCGCAUAACGAGUAUGCAAGCCGCAUAAUAGUCGCAUACAUUGGCAGGCCACUGUCCAAUCGGAAGACAACUGUGCAGUCUAGAAUGUGAUCACAUUUUGGUUAUGCGGACCACAUAGAUAUCGCAUUUUUCUCAUUGAGUUUUUGUGAGGGAGGUUAUGCGACGCACUAUGCGAUCGCAUAACGUGUAUGCGGACCGCAUAAUGGUCGCAUACCUCCACCAUUUGUUUUAAUUAUUGGCCAAUUUUUGAGGGCCAUUAUGCAAUUGGUCUGUGGACUGCAUGUCAGGAAAGUGAUUGCAUUCUUGACCACACUCUGCAUCGGGGAUCCUAUUUUUCUAAUUUUUCAACCCGACCCCUUCUUCAAUAAAACACCUCAACACUUCAUUUUAACCCAUUUUCUGAAUAAAACUAGAGAUAGGGAAGAGAGGGUUAUGGAGAGAGGAAGUCUUAUCUCCAUCAACUUGAUUUUCAAUGUCUCCCAGGUCAGGAAAUUUUGAGUAAUUAUCUUCUUCUUCGUUCUUGUAGGUAAAAUCUCCAACCCUUUUUCAUUUGGUUUUCAGAUUUAAACAAAAAAGAGGGUUCUCGUGAAUAUAUUCUUAAAAAUAUAAGUUGAACCAUGCAUGCAUGUACCUUAAUACCUAAAAUAUAGUAAGAGGAAUUGGGUAGGAGUAAAGAUCUGCAAAAAGGAGGCGCUUAUAAUCUAAGUGAGUUCGGGUUGUAUUUAUGAAUUUUCAUUUCUAAGAUCUAUGUAUUAACUUGUGAAUUAGAUUGAUAGUACUAGGCUGUUGGUUAAUUGAGAGUAGGAGUAAAAAAGGAAAUUUGACUCCAGGUAUGUAUGGCUAACUUUAACCCUAGUAAAGUCACCCUGUUUGGUGUACAAGUAAGUGGUAUGUAUUACUUAUGUAGAAUAUUUGUGAGUUUUGGUUGUUUCACGGGUGUCAAGGCAAGAUGGCCUAUUUCAUGAAUUCUUAUGAUUAAUAUAUCUUGAACGUUAUUGGUUAAACGUCCCGAUAAGAUGGUGUAAACAAAUGGCAACAAGCCAAGUGUGUGUGUGAAUAUGUUCAUGUGGUAAGGGCUGUAUAAUAAAUGAUGGAAAGAAGUCGUAGUUGAUGUUAAUAAAAAAACUCUUUGUGAAUUGUUAUUGUUGUUGUGAAAAGAUAUUAUGGAUGGCCUAAAUCCAUGUGAUUGAACUAUGAACUAUUGUUGUGUUGUAAGAUAUUGAUUGUCUGGUAGGAUCAGGUUGCAUGCCGCAACACGAAGUUAUAAGGUGUGAGUUGUGCUGAUAAGGGUGACCGACGUAAUAAGGGUGGAAAAGUAAUCAUAAUCACUAUUGAAAUGAAAAUAUAUGAAACACUUGAGUAUGGAAUGAUGUUGAAGGGGAAAAGGAGAGAUUGUGAAACUUGUUGGCCUUGGGUUGUUCCUUUCAUGUGCAUUUAAUUGUUAAUCAUAUUACAGUUUGUUAUCUGUGUAUUGAUUGGUUUUACUUGGGGUAAAGUUUGUUCAUACAUACCAGUACAAUUCGAAUGUACUGACGACCUUUUUGCCGAGGGUGCUAUAUUCUUGUUAUGACUGUAGGUUGUUCCAUAGCAGGUACUUUUGUACACCAACAGUAGUACCUCCUCCACCUUCCGUCAACUGUAUUGGUGAGCCACUUUCCUCUCGGGUCCUUACGUGGAUCUUGCCGCUUCACUUCCUGGAGUCUUAUAUUGGUAUUUGUGUAGGGUAUAGCGAUAGCUUCGUUACUGGUGAGUAUUGUAAAACCAUUUUGUACCCGUAGAUGCUCCGUAGACAAGAAAUGUGAGUAAUGUACUUAUGUAUUCGGGCAGUGUAACUUGUAGAUCACGUAAAGUAAGCAUGUGUGUUAUGUAUAUUUUGUAAGAAUGUGUUUGACUAUAAAUGGCUAUUUCACAUGAAUAAUGAGUAUUGAGAUCACGGGGUAACACGGGGGAUAGGAAAGGCACCCAGGUCUACUUGAUUGGGGCUACCCGGUCGAGUGCCAAUCAUGUCCCUCAGUUUUGGGGCAUGACAAACUUGGUAUCAGAGCCUACUAUUUUAAAAGAGUCCUAGGAUGUCUCGGCUCCGUGUCUAGUAGAGCCCUUUUUAUCGGUAUGUUGUCGACCGCAUUUAUAAGUAGGGGGAUACAUGGACAUUUAGGAAGUUACCCUCCUAUUUUUUAUUCUAUAUCGUGCAGUGAAGUGAAAAGUGAAAGUAUUUUUGUCUAAAUCGUGCUUUGUUCCGAAAUUUUCAGUAAUGGCACCUAAGAAGAGAGCUAAACUUGGCCUUGGGGCCAAUGCCACCCAAAGUGACUCCCUGAUCUUGAAUCUACCUGGCCCGUCUAUCCCAGAUCAAAGUAUUCCUGUUCCUGUGGCGGUAGAGGGUGCUACCAUCCGUCCUGCCAAUAUUCUUGAUUUUGACGCAGUUCCAGCUUCCAGUCCCGGAGUUUCUGAUGGGGACCUUUGAGGAGCCAUCCAUAUGUUGACCCAGUUAGUGGCAGCUCAGGUCUAGAGAUCUCAUGAUGCCCAUGUGUCCUCCAGAAAAUAGGGAGACUCCUCCAGCUCCAGACUAAACCAUUAUUUAUGGUUAGCCCCUCAAGAGUUCAUAGGGACAGACCUAGAGGCCAAUCCGCACGAUUCCUUGAUGAAAUGUAUAGGACCCUUCGAGUGAUGAAGGCUACAGAGAUGGAGAGAGUUGAGUUAGCUUCACACGGGUUGAUGGGAGCAGCGUAUUCGUGGUUCGAGAUGUGGGAGGAUUCCCGUGGGGAAGAAAGUCCUCCGACUCGAUGGGAUGAGUUUGUAGAUGCAUUUAUGGACCACUUCUUGCCUGCCGAGACAAUGGAAGCCCAUGCCACUGAGUUUAUGCCCUUAAGUAGGGUAGCAUGAGUGCUUCGGAGUACCACAUACAGUUUGUGAGAUUGUCCAAGUAUGCUCCUCAAAUAUUGUCGACCAUGGAUGCUUGAGUUCAACGAUUCGUUCAGGGCCUUAGUCCUUUGGUGGUGAAUGAGGCUGCUAUAAUGGCCUUACCCUUGAAUAUGAAUUAUGGAAAGGUUGUAGGAUUCUCUCAGGCCACAGAGGCUAAAAAGUUGAAGAUACGGGCGGAAAGGGAGAGUAGUAGCAGAGCCCGAUUAGUGGGUCACUCAGGGAGACUAGUUUAGGGGAGAGGGCCAUCAGAGCCAUCCCAGUCAUAUGCUCAAUCUUCACCAAGCAGACCGCCAUCUGUGCGCAGUUAUCAGCAGAGCAGUCACUUGAGACUAGGUUCAAACAGUAGGAGAACCCAUCAAUCCGAUCGUCCAGAAGGGAAAUUAUAGCAGCAGGGGACAACUCCAUGCCCAAUGUGUGGGAGGUUCCAUUCUGAGACUUGUUAUUUGGAUAUCCCAGUAUGCAAUAGAUGCGGGGUGAGAGGUCAUAUCCAGCGGGACUGUCGUGUGCCCAGUCCGAUCAUGGGUAGGGGAUUUGCUCGGUCAUCCGGUUCUUCAGCCGCCCCAUUAUUCGUGCAUCCUCCAGCUCCAGCAGGGCAUGGUGUAGUUCGUGGUAGGGCUCGUGGUAAAGGUGGACCCAGCCGGUUUUAUGCUUUUCGUGGUCGCCAGAGUGUAGAGGCUUCUCCAGAUGUUGUUAUAGGUAUCUUAUCUGUUCAUGCCAUUGAUUGUUAUGCUCUUAUUUAUAUGGGGUCCUCUUUGUCUUAUGCCACCCCAUUCAUUGCUUUAAUUUUUCGGAUAGAACCCGAACAACUUCAUGAGCCAUUCUCCGUAUCGACUACGGUUGGUGAUUCUAUUACAGCUGUGUAAGUUUACAAGAAUUGUGUUGUUGUGGUAUGUGAUCGUGUUACCACGCCCGAUCUUAUCGAGCUUGGUAUGGUGGAUUUUGACGUGUUUGUGGGAAUGGACUGGCUUUAUUUGUGCUUUGCUAAACUUGACUGUCGAACGAGAAUAAUGAGACUUGAGUUCCCUAAUAAGCCGGUUAUUGAGUGUAAGGGGAAUGGUGUUGUGUCGAAGGGUAGGUUUAUUUCUUACCUUAAGGAUUCGAAGAUGAUUAUGACGGGGUGUAUUUAUCAUUUGGCCCGGGUGGCAGAGACCACUUCAGAAGUGUCUAUCCCUGAGUCUGUACCACUCAUGAAUGAUCUUUUUGAAGUGUUUCCGGACGAGCUUCCAGGGAUUCUGCCAGAUAGGGAGAAUGAUUUUGGGAUUUAUGUAUUUCCAGAUACGCAGCUAAUAUCUAUUCCACCAUACAUAAUGGCGCUAGCGUAGUUAAGGGAGUUAAAGGAGCAGCUGAAAGAUUUAUUAGAAAAAGAGUUCAUUCAGCUGAGUGUGUCGCUGUGGGGUGCUCCGAUUCUUUUUGUUAGAAAGAAUGAUGGGUCGCUCCAGAUGUGUAUUGAUUAUCGCCAGCUCAACAUAGUUGUCAGAAAGAAGGAUGGGUCGAUAGAUGAUUUUUUUGCAAGGUGCAAGGUUCUUCUCCAAAAUUGAUCUAUAGUCAGGGUAUCACCAAUGGAGGAUUAGAGAGUAGGAUAUUCCUAAGACCGCUUUCAGAACUCGCUAUGGUCACUUUGAAUUCUUGGUCAUGCCUUUUGGGCUAACCAAUGCCCCGACAACUUUCUUGGAUCUUAUGAAUCGGGUCUUCAAGCCAUUUCUAGAAUCUUUUGUUAUUGUUUUUAGUGGUGACAUCCUUGUUUAUUCACGGAGCCGAGAGGAUCAUGCUGAUCACCAUAGGGGAGUUCUGCAGACUCUUCAUUAGCACCAGUUAUAUGCUAAAUUUUCAAAAUCUGAAUUUUGGUUGGAAUCCGUUACCUUUCUGGGUCAUGUUCUUUCCAGUGCAGGGGUUCAGGUGUACCCCUAGAAGAUUGUAGCAGUGAAAGAUUGGCCUAGACCCAUGACCCCGAUAGAGAUAUGUAACAUCUUUGGUUUAGCAGGGCAUUAUCAGAGGUUCGCGGAGGGAUUCGCUACCCUCGCCUCCCCAUUGACUAAGUUGACGCAGAAAGUAGUUAAGUUCCAAUGGUCCGACGCUUGUGAGAAAUGUUAUCAGGAAUUGAAGUCGAGGUUGGCCUCGGCGCUGAUAUUGACCUUGCCAGAAGGCACGGAAGGAUAUGCAGUUUAUUGCAAUGCCUCCAGGAUUGGUUUGGGGUGUGUGUUGAUGCAACAUGGGAAGGUUAUAGCAUAUGCUUCAAGGCAACUCAAAAAUCACGAGAAGAAUUAUCGGACGCAUGAUUUGGAGCUUGUGCAAUUGUAUUUGCCUUGAAAAUAUGGCGGCAUUAUCUUUAUGGGGUCCAUGUGGAUGUGUUCUCAUACCACAAGAGUCUCCAAAAAAUUUUCAAGCAGAAGGAGUUAAUCUUGAGGCAGCGGCAGUGGUUUGAAAUGCUUAAAGGCUAUGAUAUGAACAUCUUGUACCAUAUAGGGAAGGCGAACGUGGUGGCCGACGCCCUUAGUCGGAAAUCCAUGGGUAGUUUGGCUCACUUAAGCUUGCAGAUGUUGUGGUUGCCUUGAAAAUAUGGUGCCAUUAUCUUUAUGGGGUCUGUGUGGAUGUGUUCUCAGACCACAAGAGUCUCCAACCUUUGUUCAGGCAGAAGGAGUUGAAUUUAAGGCACCGACGGUGGUUAGAAUUGCUCAAGGAUUAUGAUAUGAACAUUUUGUAUCAUCCAGGGAAAGUGAAUGUGGUGGCCGAUGCUUUCAAUCAGAAGUCUAUGGGUAGUUUGUCUCAUUUGGGAGCGGAUCAGAGGCCCUUGGCUCGAGAGGUUUAUCAAUUAGCCAGUCUGGGGGUUUGUAUUUCGACCUCAGACAAGGGGAAUGUUAUUAUGCAUAAUAGACAAGAAUCAUCACUUGUAGCGGAAGCCAAGGAAAAGCAGUUUAUUGAUCUAGAAUCGGCACGGAUGAAGGAGGCAAUUCUGAAUAACAAGACUUCAGCAUUUUCA